rnacentral:lncRNA from 1 species
AGCAAGAGUAAGAAGUAUUGGCAGCAGCAAGCAGGCGGGCAGGCUGAGAUCUUGCAUGGAAAUCAUGAACCAGGUCUUGCUUUUCGUUUUUGAAACGUUUUGGAAGGAGAGUUAUGAAUAGCCCAGAAAUAGGUCUCAUUUUGUGGGUAGGAAGAAUGACCAGAAGCAUGAAAGCUAAAUCUCCUGGCAAGUGCAGGGGACCUCUCUUGGAGUGUGCAGUAAACCCGAGGGGACGACUUCUCCUGCUGUCAACUCCUGAACCAUCACAUCUGGAGUGAAGGAAGGGGCUGGUGAAGCCUUGUAAUAAAUGCAAAGGAUGCUGCUGAGAGCUUUGGUCUGCCUUUAACUCAUUGUGGCAAAGUUGGACAUCCCAAAGAUGGCGUAGAUGAACAUGACGAGGAAAAGCAGGAGGCCGAUGUUGAACAGCGCAGGAAGGGACAUCAUCAGAGCAAAGAGCAGCGUGCGGAUCCCCUUGGCGCCUUUGAUCAGGCGUAGGAUUCGUCCAAUCCUGGCCAGGCGAAUGACUCGGAACAGGAUGCUACUCCCAGUCUUCACUGAGAAACUGCUCUAGCCAGUGAACGACAGUGAAUGAAGAAAUGCCUGGCUGCUCGAGACACCGAGAGUGACAGCUGCGUGCUCAGCUCAGGAGGACGUUCAUAUCCUUCUUCAAGGCUCUAGGAACAAAGCGUGGUGAUGACAGGAAGACAGUAAGAGCCCAGGACAUAGGGAUGGGAGCUAUGAAGCUCUGUGCUGUACCAAGGACACAAUCAAUGUAAUCGCGGCACCAUAACAGAGGUCAGCAGUGGGUUCGUGCAAUACUGAGCGGGUCAGCAUUCAUUCAUUCAUAUACAGAGAGGGCCCAUGCAGCCACAUCUUCUCUGCUGAAUUAUGAGCUACCGAUGGAUUGUGGGAGAAACAAACAUUCUCUUCAGCCUUGGGCCCACUUCUGAGUUCACUAGGUUAAACUUCUUCGAUGUUGGCCUGGUUCUGUUCCUCGUACGCCAUGGCUACCACAGCCAGGAUCAAGUUUAUCAGGUAAAAGGAUCCCAGAAAUAUCACCACGACAAAGAAAAUCAUGUAGGUUUUGCCAGCAGCACGCAGUGUCUAUGGGGAGCAAAAAAGAGACAUGAUUAUUUUAGUAAUACAAAAAUUUCACUAAGGUUUUUAUUGCAGCUAGUAUAUAAUGAAUGUGCAAACCAGAUAUUUUUGUAUAAUUUUGUUGUAGAAAGAUAAAUAAAGAUAAUAUCUUUGAGGAAAAUCAGUAUUAAACAAACUUUUUAAUAUAAAAGAUACAGCAUUGUUAUAUGUACAUUAAGGCUUGAUUCUUCAUUAAAAUGAAAUAUAAUG